UACGUAGGGAGCGAGCGUUGUCCGGAUUCAUUGGGCGUAAAGAGCUCGUAGGCGGCUUGGUAAGUCGGAUGUGAAACCUCCAGGCUCAACCUGGAGUCGCCAUCCGAUACUGCCAUGGCUAGAGUCCGGUAGGGGCCCACGGAAUUCCUGGUGUAGCGGUGAAAUGCGCAGAUAUCAGGAGGAACACCGAUGGCGAAGGCAGUGGGCUGGGCCGGCACUGACGCCGAGGAGCGAAAGCGUGGGGAGCGAACAGG
rnacentral:rRNA from 1 species